AUACUCCGGUUUCUCUUCAAAACGCAUAAAUCUUUCGCCUUUUACUAAAUAUUACAUGGGAGAUACUUAUACUGAGAAAUUACACAUUAUCUGAAAUUCAAAUUUAAGUAGGCAU